rnacentral:rRNA from 1 species
AUAGAUCCCGGGUAGUCCACGCUGUAAACGAUGGGCACUAGGUGCUCGGGGGUAUUGACCCCCUGGGUGCCGUAGCUAACGCAUUAAGUGCCCCGCCUGGGGACUACGGCCGCAAGGCUAAAACUCAAAGGAAUUGACGGGGGCCCGCACAAGCGGUGGAGCAUGUGGUUCAAUUCGACGCAACGCGAAGAACCUUACCUGGGCUAGACAACAGGAGGCAUCCCCAGAAAUGGGGGCUUUCCCUUCGGGGACUCCUGGUUCAGGUGCUGCAUGGCUGCCGUCAGCUCGUGUCGUGAGAUGUUGGGUUAAGUCCCGCAACGAGCGCAACCCUUGCCUCUAGUUGCUACCAUUCAGUUGAGCACUCUAGAGGGACUGCCCGUGUUAAACGGGAGGAAGGUGGGGAUGACGUCAAGUCCGUCAUGGCCCUUAUGUCCAGGGCUACACACGUGCUACAAUGGGUAGUACAAAGGGACGCAAACCCGGCGAGGGGGGAGCCAAUCCCAAAAAACUCUCUCAGUUCGGAUUGGAGUCUGCAAUUCGACUCCAUGAAGCGU